UACGGGGGGAGCAAGCGUUGUUCGGAUUUACUGGGCGUAAAGGGCGCGUAGGCGGUCAGCACAAGUCAGUUGUGAAAUCUCCGGGCUUAACUCGGAAAGGUCAACUGAUACUGUGCGACUAGAGUGCAGAAGGGGCAACUGGAAUUCUUGGUGUAGCGGUGAAAUGCGUAGAUAUCAAGAGGAACACCUGCGGCGAAGGCGGGUUGCUGGGCCGACACUGACGCUGAGGCGCGAAAGCUAGGGGAGCGAACGGG
rnacentral:rRNA from 1 species